rnacentral:lncRNA from 1 species
UGGCAGAAAGCCUCAGUUCCUUGAAAAUGUGGACUUCUCUGCAGGCCUUCUGGAGUGUCCUCCUGACAGCAACUGGCCUUUCCCAGAGAGAGUGAUCCAACAGAGAGAGCAAGUAGGAUAUAGCUGCGCCUUUCAUGACAGCCUCAGAAGCCACAAAUCACCGUGUCUGCUAUGUUUUAUUCAUCAGAAGUGAGUCGCUGAGUCCAACCAUAUUCACAGGGAGGCAAAGUAAGCUCUACCUCUUAAAGGAAAGGAGUAUCCAAGAAUUUGUGGAUAUAUUUUAAAACGGCCACAACUUGUUUUGUGACCUAUCAUAUGAUCUGUCUUGGAGAAUGUUCCAUGUACUGAUGAAAAGAAUGUACAUUCCGGAGGAGCCAAGAUAGGCGAAUAGGAACAGCUCCGGUCUACAGCUCCCAGCGCGAGUGACGCAGAAGACGGGUGGUUUCUGCAUUUCCAUCUGAGGUACCGGGUUCAUCUCACUAGGGAGUGCCAGACAGUGGGCACAGGACCUCAGAUGGACAGAAUUCAACUCAUCACAUUUCUUGGUUCUUGACACGCUCUCCUCGUUAGUCCAUCACAUAUUGCACGGAUUCAUUCAUAUCGCUGCAUGUAGGCUGCUUUGACCUGCUGUAGAAUAUCUCAUUGUGUGGAUGCACAUGUGGAUCACUGAGUAUGUCAGAGCUGGCAAGAUACGUCAGAAGAGAAAGGAGAAACUCUUAACUAAAUAGAGUUGGAAAUAAAAUAAUUGUCUGUAUGGAAUAAGAUCAAAGGUCCCACAUGUUAAAGUCAACCCCAGAUGAAUUAAAGUCUUACAUGUCAAAAAAAAUUGAAACUUUUAGAAGAAAAUUAAGGUGGAUAUAUUUUAGACCUUAAGGUAGAGAAAGAUUUCUUAAAGAAGACACUUACAGGAUUGAUUACAAACAAAAAGACUGGUACAUUUGAAUGUAUUAUGUUAAGAACUUUUCCACCAAAAGAAAGCCUCGAUUUCCUCAUUUUUAAGAUGAGGAUAAUAAUCCCUACCUUAUAGAAUUCUAAUAAGAUGAAAUGAAGCAACAUAUACAAAAUACUUAGCACAGAUCCUAACACCUACAAAAUAAUAAAUGGUAACGAUUAUUAUUCUUCUCAAACAACAAUCCUAUUAUUUAUCAAAUAAUACUGAGUAAUAUGACAAGACAUAUUUAAACCACACAAGCCAUAUGCAGACAAGUGUUUAAUAUCAUAGUGAUAGUUUCAAGAGAGAGAUAAUAAUUUAUUCUACAUUUAUCAGAGGUCUAUAGCCCAGUAGUCAAUAAAUACUUAUCUAUAGUCAAUAAGUACUAUCAAGCAUCCAUGCCAGGAACCAUGCUAGGGGCUGAUUAAUUUACAUCAAUCACCAUGACUUUUUUCCCACAAACUAACACACACACAAUCUUCAUAGAUUUUUCUGUGAUCACAGCAAGGAAAAGACCUACGCAUGUUUGGAUCAUCUGUGUACAGUCCUACAGAAGAACUUUGACACUAUCAGAGACAGAAAUCUCAGAAUAGUCCAACUCUCACUUAUUUGUGCUAAUGAAAGAGUAAAGUAAAAGAGACAAUUAAA